AUUUUAAUAGUUUAAUAUAAAAAAUAUAACUCUGAAGAAGUUAAGAUCUUUAAAAUA
rnacentral:tRNA from 1 species